GACGAAGGGGGCUAGCGUUGUUCGGAAUUACUGGGCGUAAAGCGCGUGUAGGCGGUUGCCCAAGUCGGGUGUGAAAGCCUUGAGCUCAACUCAAGAAAUGCACUCGGUGCUGGGUGACUAGAGGACCGGAGAGGAUAGUGGAAUUCCCAGUGUAGUGGUGAAAUACGUAGAGAUUGGGAAGAACACCAGUGGCGAAGGCGGCUAUCUGGACGGUUUCUGACGCUAAGACGCGAAAGCGUGGGGAGCAAACAGG
rnacentral:rRNA from 1 species